UUAAAUUUGAAGCAGGAAGUAGUAAUUACUAGUCAUAACAAAUAAAUUUAGGUGUUCUGCUGCACUCACUCACAGUUUUGAUUUCCCAGAGAUUUCUAGCAAGUAUGAUGCAGAAGUCUCCAGACAACAACAGCAGAGCAGUAAAUUCUGUCUCAUAUCCUUUGAAACCAUAAUGGACAAGAGUAGAAUUCCACUGUGCCAGUCCCCUUGUUGAUUCAGUCUGCUUCCUUCUAUUAUUUAACAGGAAACCCCAGGACAAUCAACACAUGGAGAGCAAAUGCUCCUCUCCUUCCCCUCUCAUUUUUUACUUUUUCUCAUCACAGAAUGAACAGGAGAACAAAGUGGAAGGCACCAUGCCAGCUUUAAACAUUCUGAUACUUUUAUGGAUGUGUGACUGUGUUCUUCUUCAAGGUUCUGAGACCAUGGAAAAUGAAAACAUCACUCCUCUACCCAUGACUGGUCUAUUUAAAUCAGUGACUCCUACAGAAACAUCCCAGGAUGCAAAGACGGAAUUCUUAUCUGCACCUUCCCCUACAGAAGAGAAAUCGGCAGCACUAUCGGUAGCAGCAUCUGGUGUUAUCAGCUUCAUUGUCAUUUUGGUGGUGAUUGUGAUCAUCCUGGUCUGUGUGGUCAGCCUAAGAUUCAGGUGCCGUCACUGCAAAGAUGCAGAAGCAGAUAAACAGAAACCUCAACACCCAAUAGUAACUUACAGGUACAUCCUAAUUAUGUGAACUGCCUGAUUGUUAAAAACUAUCAUGUGCUGUGUUUGUUUUCAUGCUAAUGGGAUAAUGUAAUUUCUUCUGUUUUGUUGUUUCUGAAUUGGGUCCCACCCAACUUUGAUUGAUCCAUUGCUCCAAAGAUAACUCAGAUUGGGCAACUUUGUUUCUUAAAUGGGUAUAUAUUCAUCAAAACUAAUCCAUUUAGUUUGACAGUCAUGGAUUUCCCUUUCUGCCCACAAUAGAGCUGAUAUUGAAUGUAUUAUCUCUGUCAUGGUCUCUGUGAAUCACACAUUUGGGUGUUUCUUUUUUUGAUUGAAACUUGUCAGAACAGUUUAGAGAUUAAAGCAGAACAUUGUUAGGGAAGCCCCCCUACUAGUGCACAUGGCUUUGCACCUAGCAGUUAUCCCUCACUUUUAGCCACCACUGCGGACACUUCUUGGAACUUUCUCUGGAGCCCAUUUCAUUACUUUAUACCAUAAUUUUUGCCUUUUGUCCAUUGUUGUUUUCAUCUUCAGCCAUUCUGCAAGUUCCCCCUAAAAGUGUAUUGUAUGUACCAACAAAAUUCUCCUCAUCAACAGACAUUUUAAGUGUUUGUACUGCUUUGGUGAGGGACACUAAACCCAAGCUUGUCAGCAUUGUCAUAAAUUUACAAAGGUUGCUAUAAGGAAAUGACAAUCCCACCUCAGACUCUAUCUUUGGGAAAAGCUGCCACAGGCUGUCAGGUCUUUAUCCCAACAAACCUCUUGUAUUCCAUCAGUAUCUGUUUGUAAGACCUCCACACAAGUCAUCAUGCUGGUGAUCCAAUUGGAAUCAGGCACUACCAAAAACCAAGUUGAUCAGAGGCCAAGGAAAGUUGAGUCAGCCCAACUCUUACCAAUCAAAACCGAUGGCAUACUGUCGACACUGAGGGUGCCAUCAGCAUAAGAAACUAUGGCGUCCAGGGCAACAUCAACACCAAAAUUGAUAUUUGGUUUUCUAAAAGCAGAGAAAAUCUCUUGAAUUGGACUCUACC
rnacentral:lncRNA from 1 species